UUUUGGAGGGAAAGAAUUUGGAGAGGCUUUUCUCAAAAGAGAAUAACUCAAUCCAUAUUGGGUUAACUGAUUAAAAAAAAAAAAAAAAACUUUUUUCUGGAUUAUUCAGCUAUUUAAAUAUUUAAACAGAUAUAUGGACCAAUACUAGAAAAUCGAGUAUACAGAAGGAGAACAAUUAGGGACAUCCAAGUAAUCUACCAAAAGCCUACUGAACUUAGGAGGAAACGACUCGAGUUGGUAUACCACGUCUAGAGAUCAAACGGUCUUUUGAAGAAAGGCUUGGUUUGGAGGUUAAAUGGAAAAAUACUCAUUAGCGUUGGGUAGAAACAGUAAAUUUAAGUAAAUUAAGUAGAAUCAAAUGUACCCAGGAAGUAAUAAUAAGAAGAUAACGCAGAAAGAGACAAACGGAGGAGUGUAGUUUAGAUAGUGCGGAUAUUACAAGGACUGUGAAAGUUUAAAAAGUAGAAGAAAAAUAUGUUAAUUUUUUCGACUUACUGGGAUGAGUUUCGGUUAUCAAUAGUUGUCCCUUCCCUCACUUUGUAUCCGAUUGUGCCAUCGAAAAUUUCCGCUGACUGGUUUACCUUUACCGAAUAAUCCAAGUUGUCGCAAA